rnacentral:rRNA from 1 species
CGGGGGGAGCUACCAUGCAGUCGAGCGGAACGAGUUAUCAUGAACCUUCGGGGGACGAUAACGGCGUCGAGCGGCGGACGGGUGAGUAAUGCCUAGGAAAUUGCCCUGAUGUGGGGGAUAACCAUUGGAAACGAUGGCUAAUACCGCAUGAUGCCUACGGGCCAAAGAGGGGGACCUUCGGGCCUCUCGCGUCAGGAUAUGCCUAGGUGGGAUUAGCUAGUUGGUGAGGUAAGGGCUCACCAAGGCGACGAUCCCUAGCUGGUCUGAGAGGAUGAUCAGCCACACUGGAACUGAGACACGGUCCAGACUCCUACGGGAGGCAGCAGUGGGGAAUAUUGCACAAUGGGCGCAAGCCUGAUGCAGCCAUGCCGCGUGUGUGAAGAAGGCCUUCGGGUUGUAAAGCACUUUCAGUCGUGAGGAAGGUGGUGUAGUUAAUAGCUGCAUCAUUUGACGUUAGCGACAGAAGAAGCACCGGCUAACUCCGUGCCAGCAGCCGCGGUAAUACGGAGGGUGCGAGCGUUAAUCGGAAUUACUGGGCGUAAAGCGCAUGCAGGUGGUUUGUUAAGUCAGAUGUGAAAGCCCGGGGCUCAACCUCGGAAUUGCAUUUGAAACUGGCAGACUAGAGUACUGUAGAGGGGGGUAGAAUUUCAGGUGUAGCGGUGAAAUGCGUAGAGAUCUGAAGGAAUACCGGUGGCGAAGGCGGCCCCCUGGACAGAUACUGACACUCAGAUGCGAAAGCGUGGGGAGCAAACAGGAUUAGAUACCCUGGUAGUCCACGCCGUAAACGAUGUCUACUUGGAGGUUGUGGCCUUGAGCCGUGGCUUUCGGAGCUAACGCGUUAAGUAGACCGCCUGGGGAGUACGGUCGCAAGAUUAAAACUCAAAUGAAUUGACGGGGGC